AUCAUAAAGAAACAGAAUUUAUCUUAUGGGGAAAAUGGUAAGAAGAAUUUCAGAGCCGAAAAUCUUGAACACGCUAAUGAAGUUACAGAAUCUGGCUUAAAAACACAAUAUACAGGUCUCUCAUAAAGAGAAAACUAAAGCACAAUAAUCGCAUUCCAAAAUCCUCAAAAUCUUGAUGAAUAUAACCCAUCUGACGAAAAUUAGUAUCCAUUCCUUGAAAAAAAAAACAAAAAAACAAAAAAACAAAAAAAAAAAGAAGCGAACCGAUUGAAAAAACUGUUCUCUUUUUAAGAGAACUGCUGCAAGAUACGAAUCUCUGAUUUCAUUACCUGUUCAAAAAAAUUGGAAAUGGAAAAAAUGAUAUAAAAGCUUGAACCCAGACACUGAAUCGAGAAAAUUAAAUGCAUCGUCCUCAUAAAUGGAAUUUCUAAUUUUCUUAAGAAGAAAACAAAAUAAAGCAAAGGGAAACCGCUACCAGUUGAUAAAACAUAAGAUCUCAACCCCAACGAAGAAUUUAAUUUCUCAAAAAUUAAAAUAAAAAAGGAAUUGAUAUACGUAUACACGUACUUCGUAUGUGCAGUGUACAUAAAGAACAGAGAUUUACCUAUCCGCAGAUUUGAAGGCCGUGUGUGAGACAGAGAGUGAGACGGAGAGAUUUACGAACUUUUUUCCGUUCGAACCUGCGUUUCAUGUAACUUUGUUGGUGAGAUCGCUAUUCUUUUAAAAGAAUAAAUUACAUUUGACAAAUGUUUUAAAG
rnacentral:lncRNA from 1 species